rnacentral:rRNA from 1 species
GACGAACGCUGGCGGCGUGCUUAACACAUGCAAGUCGAGCGAUGAAGCACCUUCGGGUGUGGAUUAGCGGCGGACGGGUGAGGAACACGUGAGGAAUCUGCCUUCCACUCUGGGAUAACUCCGGGAAACCGGGGCUAAUACCGGAUACUUUCAACUGGCGGCAUCGCCGGUUGAAGAAAGUUUUUCGGUGGAAGAUGACCUCGCGGCCUAUCAGCUUGUUGGUGAGGUAAUGGCUCACCAAGGCGACGACGGGUAGCCGGCCUGAGAGGGCGACCGGCCACACUGGGACUGAGACACGGCCCAGACUCCUACGGGAGGCAGCAGUGGGGAAUAUUGGGCAAUGGAGGAAACUCUGACCCAGCGACGCCGCGUGAGGGAUGAAGGCCUUCGGGUUGUAAACCUCUUUCAGCAGGGAAUAAGCGAAAGUGAAGGUACCUGCAGAAGAAGCACCGGCUAACUAUGUGCCAGCAGCCGCAGUAA